rnacentral:rRNA from 1 species
CAUAGUUAAAUGUACAUAUUUAAUAGUUUCUGCCCAAUGAUUUUAAUGGCCGCAGUACCUUGACUGUGCUAAGGUAGCGUAAUAAUUUGGCUUUUAAUUAAAGUCGUGAAUGAAAGGGAGAUGAGAUAGUUGUCUCUUUAGGUGAUUUUAAUUUAAUUAAAAGGUGAAAAUUCCUUUAUUUAUUAAUAGACGAGAAGACCCUUAGAAUUUGGAGUUUUUUGUUGGGGCGACAAAGUUACAUUUAACUAACUUAUUAUUAAAACAUGCCGAGAAAGAUUAAAUUACCUGAGGGAUAACAGCAUAAAAAUUAGAUUAUGACCUCGAUGUUGGAUUAGGGAAUAUUAAUUAGAAGUUAUUAUUGUUCUGUUCGAACCCUACGUGAUCU